CCUCCUAAUAAUGCACAACCGGUGCAAAAUGAAUAGAAAUACCACAUGUGCUGAAUCUUCUAUAUGUUCUUUAUAGUUGCAAUACACUCUCAGAUUUACGGGGGAAGGGUGCUAAACUGUACUCCCCUUGUUGCUGAGGUGCCACCCUUAUCUUCUCUACACGUUCCUUGAUAUCAAUUUUGAGUGUCUUCAUUAAUCUCACAUGUUCCUCAUGAGUGUUUCUUUCUGUUUCCAUAAGACACAAGGAAGGAUUAAGUGACCUCAUUUUACAUGAUCCCUGUGUGUAUUUGGGCAGCAAUGUGGUGUGUUGCCACCUCGCAGCUCCAGGAGCUUGAUCCUGAGCUCCAUGGUUUGUUUUCAUUUCCUCCCCGUUCGCUGGUUUCCCCACACCUCCUAAAAACAUGCUGGUGAGACACAUGGCACUCCCACUUGCUGUGCCUCCCAGACCUACACUCUUGCUCAACAGUGCACACACACACACACACACACACACACACACAAAAGGACUAAUCUCUCAUAGACUGUGACCGGCUGAGGAGUUGAUUAGCCAAUACAGGAUCCCGAACAGCACACACAGUCUGAUUCACAGCAUAACAAUCAUUAGCAUAAUGACGCACAGCAGACUGUUAUGUGGCCUAAUGGGAGCGAUGGAGUAGGAUUCCUUGGCCUUGCACUUCCCACUUGUGUGCAUACAGAAACUAUGAGGCUUUGUUAUGACUGUCUACGCUGUCAGGUCACACAGCUGCUUAGAAGGUUUGUCAUUUUCCUAGAAAUACCCUUCUGUAGUCAGUGUUUCCAGCCAAGCACUGCACUGUUCAAGGCAAGGCCUUUUCGAGAAUUGAAUCUGUUUAUAAACAGUAUGACCUUUUUAGCCCAAUGCCACGGUCAGGAUCUGUUUAAUACUCCAAAUAUCUGUAUCUGUACUCGGAUUUGAACCGGAAACCGCUUCCGAAUUCCUGCAGUUCCUCAACCUCAGCUACAUCACCCGAGUUCAUUAUUGGUCUCAACCAGACAUCCUGUGGACCUUUCUGGAAAACGUUCUGUCUAAUCUGAUGGAGUAAGCUAAAUUAUCUUAAUUUUUUGGGGGGGGUUCGUGACUCCCAGCAGAGAUGUGCUACUCCGUGCACUGCAAGUGCUCCACGUGGACUGUAAUGGAGCAGCGAGUAUAUAAAUAAAAGCUUAUUUCUUUUGAAUAUCGGGGCUGAAAUAUCGUAGAAGUAUGGUUUCAUUUUGGAGCUCGGUAAGGCGGUGUUUUAAGUCUGAGUGUGGGGAAAAAACAAUAACGUGCCUCCAGUUUUUUUUUAAUCUGUAUACAAUUGUAUAAAUGUGAGUCAUUUUUUUUCAUAUUCAGUUCCAUCCCUAAUACACUGCGAGCUGCAGUGCACGCACUCUUUCUCACUUGAAAUGGAAAUAGAACGCUACAUUCAGCCCCAAUUACGAGUGACUCAUGGCCUAAACGCCAGACCGUUGACUCUUGGAACGUUUAAGUUCUGGGCCGAGUGACAAAUGUUAGGGAGGGAGUUGGGGGGGCAGCUGACUCUGGAGAAACACGACAUUUUCAGGCAGGAUUUCAGAAGGCAUGAUAAAGAAGAAACUCUUUGGGAAUUACAGGCUGCCUUUAUGACUAGGCAGUUCUGCUGGUUUGGGGUCAAAGGUCAGGGAUUAGUCUCUCCCAAACCGAGAUAGCAUGCAGGGCCGAGCGUGGGUGUGCAGUGUUUACAGUAGGAGAAGUGUAAUCGUUCUCUAGCUCUCCUGGCUAUCUCUUCAUUAUGAGCACACUGCGUUUUCACUGCUUUAUUCCAUGGCACAUAAACGCUAAAUCUGAACAUUUAAUGCUGUUCCUCUAGAUUGGAAUGACUUUGACUUGCUCUGAUUUGAUUGACAGGUGAUUGUCGAUAAACAUGGUGCAUUUCCUGAGGCCAUAAAUGGUGGAAUUCAAGAUUUACGAUGUCAUAAAAUAAAAUGAGCACAGCACUGUAGUUCAGAGUGAUGUGUCCGAAACUAUCCUGAUACGAUUCCUUUAUUUAUUUACCCAAUAAUGCAGAAAUCGCUCAUUGUGGUAUUUCCUAAUGAUACCAGAAGGCCUGUAUGAGGAUAUGAAACUGUGUGUGUGAGUGUGUGUGUUCCAGGUUAUUACCUGCGGUUAUGUGAAUCGGUAGCUGAAUUUUUGUUUCUGUAAUCAAAUUUCCCUUAAACGCUGAAAGCAGAAGAAUGUGCAAAUUGAACCACUGUUCUGCGAAAACACGAAUAUUAUGUAACGUGUUUAGAGAGAAGAGAGCCUUAGCCAUUGUUGGAGUGUGUACAUAGAGAAGGGAGCGCAAAACAAACACUGUAAUGGAGAGAUGUAGCGCUGUAGUGUCACUCCAGCUUUAGCAGCUGCAGUUUAGUAAAGCAGAAGGUACACAGCUGGAAUUAAAUAGGCUCUGGGUGUGUGUAUGUGGAUUCGUUUUUGUUUUGGUUUGAAAUGGAAAGGGGGGGGGGUGUGAUGUAUAGGCAAAAGAGAUGUUCGAAACCGACUUCAAUAAAGCUUUAAUUUUGUACCUGUC